UUGUUCAAAUCUAUAUAAGAAAUUUAAAAAAAAAAAUGAAAAUAAUAUAUAUGAGAAAACUGAAGCUGAGAAAACUCCCCUUCCACGUGUUCAUAUUCCACAAUCGUGACCCCACUGGAGGCCCAAUGCGCGCUUCGGAGAUGGUGACGAUAUUGGGGUUCAGUAGGUGGUGGCUCAAGUAAGCCGAUGAUGUGGGUGGAUUAAUUUUUUUGGGUGUUUUCUUAGGUUGUUUGUUUAAAUGCCGAACGGUGAUGGGUUAUUUUUCAGAAAAUGUUGGGUUUGAUUUUGUUCGAUUUCUGGAGGAAAUACCGAUUGGUGUUUGACAUUCCUUUGGGAUUUCAUGGGUUGCACCUUCAAGGAAGCACCGAUUAGUAUUCAAGUUGGCCUUUUGGCUUUUGAUUCUCACAUUUACAUUGUUAAUAGAAAUUGAGAAAAAGAAACAAGCACUGAAGAAUGAAGUUAGUUGGAUAUGUGUUAGACAUUCUUACUGCUAGGUGACUGUUGACGUAGUCCCUUUGGUGCUCUCAGCUGCUCUGCGGCUGAUUUGGUUGUAUUUAUUUUUCAGUUGUUAAUGAUAAAAGAUACUCAUUCAUCAAAAAAGCUCUGUUGUUUGUCAGUUGUUAAUGACUAAGAUAGCUCUGUUAAAUAUGGUGCCAUUUAUAAAAAAGCAUGACUUUUGCAUUUAGAAAUGCAAAUUUACUCUCCAAAAA